rnacentral:misc_RNA from 1 species
UUCGGAGUUUCGACUUCAGUAGAGGUCGGACCGCGAAAGCGUUCGCACGCGAUGUACGAUGCGGACGCUAUUGCUUAUAUAUUUCGCGACGUUAGUGAAUUGUGAAUUCAAAAGUGAAGUGAAACAUUUGAGGCAUGCCAGGACCUUGAUAAGGCAUGGACGCUCCAGGGUCCAUUUCAGUCGGACGCACACCAGAGCGAGGGACCUCGUCGCGCAAGUUAUAGAGGCUGAGACGAGUAGCGAAUUAGAGAGCAUCGACAAAUCCGGGGAAGACCCGGUCGCCUCGGCGCUCAGACCGUACAGCGCGCCCGACGACGACGGCCACAGAACGACCCCCGACAUGUUCCAGAAAUACUUCGGGAAUUAUUCCGGGAACGUCAUACAGAGAGACAGUGACACGACAGACGACGUGUCAUUACUGGAACACUUUAUCAAUCUAGAGCACAGUUACGACAACGACACUCAGAGAAUUCCCGUUGAAGAUAUUAGAGAUGUUAACAAUACGAGUGUAGAUAGAGAUAACACGACGGUUGUCAGACCGAAUGUUCUCGAAGACGUUGUUACUAAGUUUCUAAGAUUGAUCGAAACUCAGCAUCUGCUAGGCGAGAACUGCACAGCUGGGACGCAUUUGAAUUUAGGGGAGGGUGUAGUAGAUAGGUACGCUCAAGAGAGGUUUAGGGUGGAAGCGGACGUCGCUGUUAAUAGAGCGAACAUGCUCACCAGGCUGUGGAAAUACGCCGGUCCUUCCGUCAUGCAUAACGAGUACCUGUUGCAUGCUAGUGUGUUCUCAAUGGUGGAGUUCGACGAUGACGUGUUCGCAGCGGGGAACUGCUACGACCAAUAUCAAUAUAAAGAUUACCAAUUGUUUUGUCCGUUCGCGUAUCGGUUACCCGAGGGGCCGAUACUGGCGAAGGAUCUGGCGGUCGAGUACAAAUAUUUGAGCAACACCUCGGAGUGGUUCUACAUCGCCCGUAAGAAUGCCGAGCGCGUGAUACGAAACCACAAUCAGUUCAGGAGAGGCUACAACACGUACACACACAACGACACGGCGCACACGGAGCGCGAGUUCGACGAGAUCCUGUCGGUGACGUACGAGGACGGCAAGUGGUCCAAGCCGUACUACGAUUGCGGCGGCGGCAACAUCUGGAUGCUGACCUACACCGUGCCCUUCUUCGGCUACAACGGCACGUACUUCUUCAAAGGCACCAGCGGCAUCGACAUCGACCUGCGACGCGUGGACAUCGACCAGUGCCCGCUGCGGCCCGGCUCCACGCAGCUCAACAUCUUCGCCGGCACCGACAAGUGUAAGAAGAAGACCACAGAGUGCGUGCCUGUCCCCGGUCUCGGGUUCCGUCGCGGCUCGUACCGCUGCGUGUGCCGCCGCGGCUUCUACUUCCCAAACACCACCGCCGACAGUCGCUUCUACAACGGCAGCGACAUCGAGGAAGAAUACGAGAAGCAUCUCUCGAACCAACUGAGCCUAUACUCCAAAGCCACGGCAUUCGAGUGCCUGCCCUGUGCAGAAGGCUGCGAAGCGUGCGUGGAUGGGUCGCCGUGUGUGGCCGCCUUGAACUGGGUGGUGAGGACGACCAUCUUCGCGCUGGCCUGCUUCGUCAUAUCCUGCUUGCCGUUCAUCGUGUAUUUCACUAUCAAAUAUGGACAUGUUCGCGUGGUGCGCGCGGCGAGCCCGGCGCUGCUGCGGGUGAUCGUGCUGGGCGCGCUGCUCAUCUACUGCACGACGCUGGUGAUGUACGGGCGGCCCACCGUGUUCACGUGCACGGCGCGCGUGUGGCUGCGCGAGGUCGGCUUCUGCUUGACGUACGGCGCUCUCAUGCUGAAGACGUGGAGAAUAUCGGUGAUCUUCCAAGUGCGCUCGGCAAAGGCGGUGAAGAUCUCGGACAUGUGCCUGCUGCGGCGCAUCGGCGUCAUCGUGGGCGUGGCGUGCGUGCUGCUGAGCAUCCGCACGCUGGUGGCGCCGCCCGCCGUCAUCGUCGGCCGCACCACCGACGACCUGAAGGCCUACCUCUGCAACACCGACUGGUGGGACCACUCCUUCACCACUUUGGAGGUGAUCUUCCUGAUGUGGGGCAUCCGGCUGUGCAUCAUGGUGAGGAAGGCGCCCUCGGAGUUCAACGAGAGCCGGUUCAUUUCCAUGGCCAUCUACAACGAGUUCCUACUAUCUGUCUUCCUUAAUAUAUCUAUGUUAUUUCUACAAUCACCCGCUAAUCCGGACCUUCUGUACAUAAUAUUCUUCUGCCACACGCAGCUUACUGUCACAUUACUUCUGUGUUUCAUUUUUGGUAGUCGGGCAUACAUGGUGUUCAAAGGUCAAGGGAAGGACGAAAGGGAGAAAACCAAGUUCAGAUCUCGACCAGCUGACUCUACCUACACCAUGACAACUAAUCGUACCGCACACUUUUGUGACAACAUGACUGAAAGAGAUUUGGAGGAGGAGUUCAAAAAAAUUUGUAACCAGUUAGAGAAACUCAGAGAAAGGUGCGGUUCAGGUGCUCAUCUGUCGAAGAUAAUAGCUGCCAUGCAAGAAGCAGCAACUUUACACGAACGAAACCAAGGUUCUACAGAUUCAGCGCCACUUAAACUAAACACUGUGUUCAGCGCAGUGGCAGGAAAGCUCAUGUGUACUGUGACACCGGGAGAAGAAUCGAGCAGCAGUGGCAGAGAUCUUCCAUUCGAAGCCCCUCCAGCGUAUAAACAGAAAAACUUCACUCUAGCUAAAAGCACAGAGAAUAGCAAUGCAGAACAAAGCCAAACAGAUGUGACGACAGACUCUCCAAAGAAAAGAACAGAUUUGAACGAGGAAAUUGAAACAAAAGAAGAAAAACAGAAUGGUGUUUUCAAAAUAUCAGGUGAAGCUGGCUGUAGUGACAUACGUCCGCCUGAAGUAGCCAUUAAAAAUGGUAUCGGCAAGAGUGAUAGAAGUGAAGUGAGGUCCAGUCCAAGUAGUACAGAGACUGUCAAAGGCGUCAGGUCUGGCCAUGCGAGGACUCAUGCCAUUGUUAUUAAUCUAGACGACAAAAGUCGUUUUACUGAGGAAGUGACGGUUUAGUACACUGUAAACGAAGACUGUACUUACAUUCCACGAAAAUCCAAAACAAUAUUUAGAUGAUUUUCUCUUAAAUUACGUAAUAAAUAACUUGUUGAUCAAAGUACAUUUGAAACUUGUUUCACAAGUUUUUCAAGAAGAACUAUUGCCGUUUUAAAUCUGCAGUAGAAAACUUGGGUAGUUUAAAGAAAAUAAAUGUGCAUUGAGACAGGUUUACUGCGAAAGUUUUUCCUGUGAAUUCUCAGAUGACUAAAUGUUUUUGAAUGAAUGAAUGAAUGAAAUAUACUUUAUUGUACACCAAAAAUAAUAAUAACAGGCAAGAAAUUUACUUAAAAACUAAUGUACAAUUGGCGGCCUUAUCGCUAAUGAGCGAUCUCUUCCAGACAACCAAUCAACAUAACAAUAACAAGUUUUUGUGAGUAAAAUGAAAGAUUUAAAUCCUUGGAUGCGCCAUUGGCUUCUUUUAUUAUUAUUGUCUUAAUCCACAUGAAUAAAAUGUGACUUUUAUAGACCUUUUAUUGACAUAAAACUUAUCCACAGCUUUUCUGAGACAUUUUAACAAAAUUGAUAUUUCCAAUUUUAAUCGAAAUCAUCUAAAAAUUGUUUUGUUAAGUCUGAUAAGUAUUAUUAUUUUGUAAAUGCUAGUCUGUACUGUGAUUUAUAGUUAUUAAAACUAGUUACGGGAAUUUUUAACAUUAAAAAAGUUUUUAUAGUUAUAAACAUGCAUAUCAAGAGUUACUUCCUUCGAAUAUUUUUACUGUAAAUAGAAAUUUGAUCUGCUCGAAAUGUAAAUAAAUGAGAAUUUCGCUGGGAUGUUGUGCUUAAGUUGUGAUUGCUUGGUUUGUCGGAUACCUGGCCCGUCGGAUAACAGUUUUAUCCCCGGUUAAGGGAUACUAAUUUUGCAUCCCAGUUUUAAACUGGUUUCAUGAAAUUUUCGCUGACAAGUUCGAAACUAAUUUAAAGAUUUACUCAAUUACCUACUCAAAUAAAUACUGUCGUCUUAAGUCGUUCUUUCGAAAUAGCGUUUCAUGCAGUUCUUCCAAAAAUUAAGUCUUUGUAAGUAAUUGUAAUACAUUUAAAAAUGUAUGUAAAUCUGUUAUCUAUAUGAUAUUUGUUAUUAUUUUGCGAUGUUGAA